rnacentral:rRNA from 1 species
GACGAACGCUGGCGGCGUGCUUAACACAUGCAAGUCGAACGGAAAGGCCCUGCUUUUGUGGGGUGCUCGAGUGGCGAACGGGUGAGUAACACGUGAGUAACCUGCCCUUGACUUUGGGAUAACUUCAGGAAACUGGGGCUAAUACCGGAUAGGAGCUCCUGCUGCAUGGUGGGGGUUGGAAAGUUUCGGCGGUUGGGGAUGGACUCGCGGCUUAUCAGCUUGUUGGUGGGGUAGUGGCUUACCAAGGCUUUGACGGGUAGCCGGCCUGAGAGGGUGACCGGCGACAUUGGGACUGAGAUACGGACCAGACUCCUACGGGGGGCAGCAGUGGGGAAUAUUGCACAAUGGGCGGAAGCCUGAUGCAGCAACGCCGCGUGCGGGAUGACGGCCUUCGGGUUGUAAACCGCUUUCGCCUGUGACGAAGCGUGAGUGACGGUAAUGGGUAAAGAAGCACCGGCUAACUACGUG